UCACUUCUACCUGGACCCACCCCCAGUCCAACAGCAUAUGUAGCAUUUUUCUUAGUUUCCCACUCCUUUCCUGCUCCCCAAGUUGUUCUUUGUAUCCUUUAAUGCUUUAUGUGCAACUUUACAUUGCUAGCUGACUGAUGUUCGGCAAUGCCUCUGAACCGACACAGAGUAGGCCAUAGCCUCCCAAAGCCACUGCCCAUGCAUAAGCAGUACAGCCUGGCUUUUUGAAUGUAUUUUUCCUGUUUUUAUU
rnacentral:lncRNA from 1 species